GGCCCCUUUAUACCAUUAACAGGAAUAAUGCUAAUUUUGAAACCCUGCCCAUGUGCGAAAUUUUCCGCUUGUCAGUGUCAUAUUUGACAGUACAUGGGGCGCAAAUGGGGCUCCCAUUUACUGAAAUACCAUGAAUUUUCAUCCUUCCAUUUCAAAGAAUUCAUUAAUAUAGAAGAGCAAUGAGAUGAAUCCUUUCAACUCCAUUGGCCGAUUUCCUGCCAAUAGAGCAGCACGCACAUGGAGGAACGUAUAAUUAUGACUUUAUUAUCCUACCCAAAAUUACAUUGUCUACAUGUGAGAAUAUAUGUAAAUAAUAAAGGCAUCUUAAUAAACACUU